UACAGAGACUGCAAGCGUUGUUCGGAUUCAUUGGGCGUAAAGGGUGCGCAGGCGGCUCGUUAAGUCGGAUGUGAAAUCUCACAGCCUAACUGUGAUAGGUCAUUCGAAACUGGCGGGCUUGAGGGCUGGAGAGGAGACUGGAAUAGUCGGUGUAGCGGUGAAAUGCGUAGAGAUCGACUAGAACACCGGUGGCGAAGGCGGGUCUCUGGACAGUUCCUAACGCUCAUGCACGAAAGCCAGGGGAG
rnacentral:rRNA from 1 species